rnacentral:tRNA from 1 species
UGGGCUCGUAGCCUAGCAAGGAUAAGGCACUGAAACCUUUAAGGUUGUGUAGGCCUUCGGAGCCAGAGGUCAGGGGUUCGAGUCCCCUCGAGCCCAU